ACGAACGCUGGCGGCAUGCCUCAUACAUGCAAGUCGUAUGCCCGCAAGGGCAUGGCGCACGGGUGAGUAACGCGUAGGAAUCUACCUUGGAGAGGGGGAUAACCUGGGGAAACUCGGGCUAAUACCGCAUAACACCGAGAGGUCAAAGGAGCAAUUCGCUCUAAGAUGAGCCUGCGUACGAUUAGCUAGUUGGUAGGGUAAUGGCCUACCAAAGCGAUGAUCGUUAGCUGGUCUAAGAGGAUGAUCAGCCACAAUGGAACUGAUACACGGUCCAUACUUCUACGGAAGGCAGCAGUAGGGAAUUUUGCGCAAUGGGCGAAAGCCUGACGCAGCAAUGCCGCGUGUAGGAAGAAGCACUUUGGUGUGUAAACUACUGUCGGUGGGGAAAAAGAAAAUGAUUGUACCCGCAAAGGAAGCAUCGGCUAACUACGU
rnacentral:rRNA from 1 species